rnacentral:rRNA from 1 species
UUAUAAGAGACAGCAGCAGCCACGGUAAUACGAGGGGUGCAAGCGUUAUUCGGAUUGAUUGGGUGUAAAGGGUGUGCAGACGGCUUAUUAAGUCACUUGUUAAAUUCUUCGGCCUAACUGAAGGUCUGCAAGUGAUACUGAUGAGCUAGAGGGUGGAAGAGAGAAGUGGAAUUCUCGGAGUAGCGGUAAAAUGCGUAGAUCUCGAGAGGAACACCAAUGGCGAAGGCAGCUUCUUGGUCCAUUCCUGACGUUCAUACACGAAAGCGUGGGGAGCAAACAGGAUUAGAUACCCCAGUAGUCCCUGUCUCUUAUAC